GAGCAUGAGCUAGCUCCACCCACUCUCUGGCUGUAGUACUCUCCCGGAGAACAAGCCCUGAACCUCACCUGAACAACACAGUGGAACUGUCCCUGAUGGUGAAGGCACUGGGGGGAGGUUGCAAGGUCCAAGAGUGGAUAUGAAGCGAUGGGGAGGUGAGUGGGACUGGGGUUCGUGAUGUAAAACUCAUAAAGAAUCAAUAA
rnacentral:lncRNA from 1 species